rnacentral:tRNA from 1 species
AGGAUAAUAGUUUUUACAAAACAUUUAAUUUGCAUUUAAAAAAAACUGAUAAACCAGUUUAUCUUA